GAUGAACGCUGGCGGCGUGCCUAAUACAUGCAAGUCGAGCGAAUGGAUUGAGAGCUUGCUCUUAUGAAGUUAGCGGCGGACGGGUGAGUAACACGUGGGUAACCUGCCCAUAAGACUGGGAUAACUCCGGGAAACCGGGGCUAAUACCGGAUAACAUUUUGAACCGCAUGGUUCGAAAUUGAAAGGCGGCUUCGGCUGUCACUUAUGGAUGGACCCGCGUCGCAUUAGCUAGUUGGUGAGGUAACGGCCCACCAAGGCAACGAUCAGUAGCAGGUCUGAGAGGGUGAUCGGCCACACUGGGACUGAGACACGGCCCAGACUCCUACGGGAGGCAGCAGUAGGGAAUCUUCCGCAAUGGACGAAAGUCUGACGGAGCAACGCCGCGUGAGUGAUGAAGGCUUUCGGGUCGUAAAACUCUGUUGUUAGGGAAGAACAAGUGCUAGUUGAAUAAGCUGGCACCUUGACGGUACCUAACCAGAAAGCCACGGCUAACUACGUGCCAGCAGCCGCGGUAA
rnacentral:rRNA from 1 species